GGUGGCACAGGUAUGGCAUAUGGAUGAUAUGUCGAAGUAUAUUUCACUGAGCGUGACCACCUUUGGAGCACUCUGCUAUCAAGAGUUGCUCUGAUAGGAUAUGGGUAUAAGUGUCUCUUUGACCUAAAGUUGCUUUGGUGACUUGCAAGCAACUCACUGUCCUUUGGUGCCGGACUAUCCAAAUUUUUAAUUCGAUGAUGGAAGG
rnacentral:lncRNA from 1 species